rnacentral:rRNA from 1 species
CCUACGGGAGGCAGCAGUAGGGAAUCUUUCACAAUGGGCGAAAGCCUGAUGGAGCAACGCCGCGUGCAGGAUGAAGGCCUUCGGGUUGUAAACUGCUUUUAUAAGCGAGAAAUAUGAUGGUAACUUAUGAAUAAAGAUCGGCUAACUACGUGCCAGCAGCCGCGGUCAUACGUAGGAUCCGAGCAUUAUCCGGAGUGACUGGGUGUAAAGAGUUGCGUAGGUGGCAUAAUAAGUAGCUAGUGAAAUCUGGUGGCUCAACCAUUCAGACUAUUAGCUAAACUGUUAAGCUCGAGACCGUUAGGGGUAACUGGAAUUUCUAGUGUAGGAGUGAAAUCCGUAGAGAUUAGAAGGAACACCAAUAGCGUAGGCAGGUUGCUGGGACGGUUCUGACACUAAGGCACGAAAGCGUAGGGAGCAAACGGGAUUAGAUACCCCUGUAGUC